UUGCCACUAGACCAUAUUCCCAGCCCUACGUAUAAUUUUUUUCAGCUAUAUUUUCUAUAUUCCACUAGUGCUUUAGAAAAAAAUAGACACUAAAUAAAGGCAAGUCAGUAUUGUAAUUAAGAUAACAAGGACCCCAGGCAAAAAUAGACUAAUUUAAAUAUAUGAAAAUUUCAGAUGGUGGUGGGUAAAAUUGUGAAGAUAGAGGUAAUCCAUGAAAACCAUCUGUUGGUAAUUGUUGAAUUUGUGUGAUGCUUCUGUUGGGACUAUAUGCUUGAAGAUUUCCUUAAUAAAAUGUUUAAAACGACUAAUUAUCUAAUUUGAGAAGGAUAUAGGAUAAGGGAAAAGAUCUAGAAAUGUGGGAGUAUAAUGGCUUCAGUAUACUCCAGUGUUUGAGUUUGAGCAAAAAUGGUUUGGAACCCACACGUGUAGAUAUCACACUGAAACAGGCUUAUCAGGUGCAGUUUCCUCUUUGAAAAAAUAUUGUUAUUAUAAAAGUGACAUAGAGGGGUUACAGUUACGUAAGUCAGGA